UGAUCCUGUUCAGACUGGCCACACGUGAUGGGGAAUAAUAUUCUGAACAAUAUAAGCUUGAAAUUGUUUCUCAACUAUUGUGGAGUUAUCUUGGAAAGUGUGUUUCUGGGACCAGAUUUUUUUCUUCUAAUCUCGACCGAUCAGUUCCAAAAGUGAAUCAUCUGGAGAUAUUCCCCUGAAUAAUAGUCCCACCAAGUUUGGUGAAAAUCAGUCAAUGCGUUGUUGAGUAAAUUUGUAAACACACACACACACACACACACACACACACACACAUACACACACGCUUCAUACUCAAACAAACAAAAUCUAAAAACACUUUUCUCUCACUCUGAAGUAGUGGAAGCGGAAGGCGUCGGUCUUGUGUUUGAAGAUGUAGUAUCCCAGCAUUGCCAACACGCACACCAACAACAUCGACACCAAGAUGGCCGACACCGUGCCGCUGGAGUGGGCGUGGCCUCUGGAAGCAUCGUGGGAGAUCUGGAGGUGAACGAAGCUCCAUUCGCCAUGGCAACGCCUACACUUCACUGCUGUUACCAAGGAGACGUGACUCUCUGUACCAGGCCAUCACUACCGGCGUGAUUUCCCCCAGAGGAAGAAGAAAUCUGGAGCCAGUUAAAUUAUUAAUUCAUGUUGAUCAUCCCGGUCACGUGUCCAUGGAAAUGUCCCGGUUCCCGGAAAUCGUUAGUUUUACAGUCAAAGAAAAAAAAGAAAAAUACCCCAACUUGCAUUAAUAAUUCCUAACGUUUCUUUUAAUGGCCUCAAAAUGUAUGAGGAUAAAUUAUUAACGCCAUUUCAUCAGGAUUUAAAGUGGUUCCAUGAAAUAAACCAGCCUGGUGGCUAAAAAAAUAAUAAAUGAGAAUGAAAGUUG